UCUAGACAAAUCCAGCUAGACCCAUCCAGCUAGACCCAUCCAUCUAGACCCAUCCAUCUAGACCCAUCCAUCUAGACAAAUCCAGCUAGACCCAUCCAUCUAGACCCAUCCAUCUAGACAAAUCCAGCUAGACCCAUCCAUCUAGACCCAUCCAUCUAGACCCAUCCAGCUAGAACCAUCCAUCUAGAUCCAUCCAUCUAGACCCAUCCAGCUAGACCCAUCCAUCUAGACCCAUCCAUCUAGACCCAUCCAUCUAGACAAAUCCAGCUAGACCCAUCCAUCUAGACCCAUCCAUCUAGACAAAUCCAGCUAGACCCAUCCAUCUAGACCCAUCCAUCUAGACCCAUCCAGCUAGAACCAUCCAUCUAGAUCCAUCCAUCUAGAUCCAUCCAGCUAGACCCAUCCAUCUAGACCCAUCCAUCUAGACCCAUCCAUCUAGACCCAUCCAUCUAGACCCAUCCAUCUAGACCCAUCCAUCUAGACUCAUCCAUCUAGACCCAUCCAUCUAGACCCAUCCAUCUAGACCCAUCCAUCUAGAUCCAUCCAGCUAGACACAUCCAUCUAGACACAUCCAUAUAGACCCAUCCAGCUAGACCCAUCCAUAUAGACCCAUCCAGCUAGACCCAUCCAGCUAGACCCAUCCAGCUAGAUCCAGUCUGCUGUAUUGUGUUCCCAGGACCGAGGCUUGGUGAAAGGGGAGCAGACCUGGCAGGGCUCUCUGUCCCUUUCACAGCCCUGACCCUGGGAAUGAAAGUCUCUGGAGGUUGGAUGGGGGGGGACACAGCUGUGACUGUGUCCCGGGAGAGGUGGACUCACGUGGGCUAGGGUAGCGGGAGUGAGUGGGUGGUUGGGUGGAGGGCUAGAUGAUGAGUUGGGUGGGGAUGUUUUGGGUGACGGUGGUAUUAUCCAGCUGUGACGUACUGUAUGCUAUCUGUGGCCCAAAUGGCACCCUAUUCCCUUUGUAAUGCACCAAAUUUGACCAGGACCCAUAGGGCUCAUAGGGCACAUAGGCCUCUGGUCAAAAGCAGUGCAUGAUUAGGGUGCCAUAUGGGAUGCACACUAAACUUUCUGUGAGGUCACGUGACAUAACAGCCCCCCUGGCCAUCCCAGGAAAGUUCCCAUGAAGGCAGGCAGUGGAACGUUUAUGAACAGGGGACAUUCAGAACAGCAGGCAGGAUCUCUGACAGAGAGAGAGCGACAGAGAGA
rnacentral:lncRNA from 1 species